AUGAACGCUAGCUACAGGCUUAACACAUGCAAGUCGAGGGGCAUCAGGAAGAAAGCUUGCUUUCUUUGCUGGCGACCGGCGCACGGGUGAGUAACACGUAUCCAACCUGCCCUUUACUCGGGGAUAGCCUUUCGAAAGAAAGAUUAAUACCCGAUGGCAUAAUGAUUCCGCAUGGUUUCAUUAUUAAAGGAUUCCGGUAAAGGAUGGGGAUGCGUUCCAUUAGGUUGUUGGUGAGGUAACGGCUCACCAAGCCUUCGAUGGAUAGGGGUUCUGAGAGGAAGGUCCCCCACAUUGGAACUGAGACACGGUCCAAACUCCUACGGGAGGCAGCAGUGAGGAAUAUUGGUCAAUGGGCGCUAGCCUGAACCAGCCAAGUAGCGUGAAGGAUGAAGGCUCUAUGGGUCGUAAACUUCUUUUAUAUAAGAAUAAAGUGCAGUAUGUAUACUGUUUUGUAUGUAUUAUAUGAAUAAGGAUCGGCUAACUCCGUGCCAGCAGCCGCGGUAAUACGGAGGAUCCGAGCGUUAUCCGGAUUUAUUGGGUUUAAAGGGAGCGUAGGUGGACUGGUAAGUCAGUUGUGAAAGUUUGCGGCUCAACCGUAAAAUUGCAGUUGAUACUGUCAGUCUUGAGUACAGUAGAGGUGGGCGGAAUUCGUGGUGUAGCGGUGAAAUGCUUAGAUAUCACGAAGAACUCCGAUUGCGAAGGCAGCUCACUGGACUGCAACUGACACUGAUGCUCGAAAGUGUGGGUAUCAAACAGGAUUAGAUACCCUGGUAGUCCACACAGUAAACGAUGAAUACUCGCUGUUUGCGAUAUACAGUAAGCGGCCAAGCGAAAGCAUUAAGUAUUCCACCUGGGGAGUACGCCGGCAACGGUGAAACUCAAAGGAAUUGACGGGGGCCCGCACAAGCGGAGGAACAUGUGGUUUAAUUCGAUGAUACGCGAGGAACCUUACCCGGGCUUAAAUUGCAGUGGAAUGAUGUGGAAACAUGUCAGUGAGCAAUCACCGCUGUGAAGGUGCUGCAUGGUUGUCGUCAGCUCGUGCCGUGAGGUGUCGGCUUAAGUGCCAUAACGAGCGCAACCCUUAUCUUUAGUUACUAACAGGUUAUGCUGAGGACUCUAGAGAGACUGCCGUCGUAAGAUGUGAGGAAGGUGGGGAUGACGUCAAAUCAGCACGGCCCUUACGUCCGGGGCUACACACGUGUUACAAUGGGGGGUACAGAAGGCAGCUAGCGGGUGACCGUAUGCUAAUCCCAAAAGCCUCUCUCAGUUCGGAUCGAAGUCUGCAACCCGACUUCGUGAAGCUGGAUUCGCUAGUAAUCGCGCAUCAGCCACGGCGCGGUGAAUACGUUCCCGGGCCUUGUACACACCGCCCGUCAAGCCAUGGAAGCCGGGGGUGCCUGAAGUCCGUAACCGCGAGGAUCGGCCUAGGGCAAAACUGGUAACUGGGGCU
rnacentral:rRNA from 1 species